rnacentral:rRNA from 1 species
UACGUAGGGUGCGAGCGUUAUUCGGAAUCACUGGGCUUAAAGGGAGCGUAGGCGGGCUGCCAAGUCCGGGGUGAAAUCCUCCAGCUUAACUGGAGAACUGCCUCGGAUACUGGAAGUCUCGAGGAGGGUAGGGGCAAGUGGAACCGUGGGUGGAGCGGUGAAAUGCGUUGAUAUCCAUGGGAACUCCGGUGGCGAAGGCGACUUGCUGGACCCUUUCUGACGCUGAGAAGCGAAAGCAUGGGGAGCGAACAGG